GUAUAUACGUUCUGAAAAAAUAAAAAUAAUAUUCACAAAAAGUCUUUUACUCUUGCUAAAGCUGCUGCUAAAAGACAAACAUAUAUAUUAAUUAUACACAAAUAUUUUCCAGUCAUGUUAUACCUAUAGAUCAAACUUCUCAUUCAAUCGAAUCCGAGCUUACCUAUCAUCACCAAUAUCUCCUGUUUUUAUCAAACAUGAUUCCAAAGUAGACACGAUUUGAAAAUACAAAUAAUUACGUAUCUACUAUAUCAUAAACAUUUACCUAUAGCGACCAAAGCUACCAUCCAAGAAAUAUCCAUGCCUGUCUACGUUCUCACCACUACCUCCUAUAUCCAACACUAACAAUUCCGCAAACCAGCUGACCGAACAAACGCGCACGUAUCGUUAGAUAACCGCAAAAAGAAGGGGCUACGUGAAAGGACUCCUGCUCGGCUGAUCUCCUGGAAGCACCGUUCGUUUAUCCGCUUGCCGUCGUUUCGCCGUACGGAGGCGAACUCGUUGCCAGGCAGCGCUGAACGGGCUCUCGAGUUCUUUCCAGGUUUAUCCAGGUAGAGACCAACGACAAGAGAGUGUCUCAACAUGUCCUAUCUCCCCCUUCCUUCUUUUUUCUUUUCUAGCUUCAUCCUCCAAGUACCAAGUUCGUUAUGGUAUAAUCAAGACAUUCGACGACGACGACAACAACGACGACGACGACGACGACUACGAACGACGACCAUGAUGAUAAUGAUGAUGAUGAUGAUGAUGGUGAUGAUGAUGAUGAUGAUAAUGAUGAUGAUGAUGAUGAUGAUGAUGAUAAUGAGAAAACAAUGACGAUUUCUAGCGUAAAGUCAAAGAAAUUGUUCUUUUGUGUCCUCCAACUUCGAAACCGUUUGCACGAGUUUCGUACGUGAUCGUCCUCGUUCAGAAGAUACGCUUCGUCUUUUACCGUUCAAGGUCAGCGAAUUGACGGAAACCAAGCGAAAAAAGGAGAAAAAGAAGGAAGUAAUGGAAAGAAAAAGAACGUAGAUGUAAGGAACGACGAACGAACGAACGAACGAAAGAGAUCCGAACACUUUGAACGUCGUCGCACGACUGAACAGCCAUUCGCGACUUUCACUUGGAGAUCGAGAAAUGAAACAAAGAAGAAGAGAAGCCUCUCUCCUUCGUGUUCAUCGUGAUAGUCCAGUAAUCGACGCGUAAUCGAAGCAGGUUUUAACCAGACGUCUACCUCUCCUGGCAUAAUCUGACUUUCCAUCGUUAUACAGUUACUCGAGGGUGAAAGGUAUACGUGCAUAUACGCGACGAAAGUGACAUCAUAUUCUCUUCACGAACCAGUUCUCAUUGACUCUUAAUACCGGUUUUCUUCGAUGGAACCUUCGCAAUAUUCUACGCUCCUGAUGGCGUUGUUCAUCGGGUGAGGUCGUAACCUUAGGAGCUCGUACAUUUUACGAAAUUGAAUAGUAUAAUUAAGGAAAUACCAUUAUUCAAAGAGAGUGCAACGAAUUAGUAGAAAAUCGAUGAAACGACACUGGUUUUUCUUUCUUAUCGAAUCGCUUUCUCCAUUAAAAUCUUUCUUUAUUCUUCAUGAAAGACGAAGAAACAACAUUACUGAAGUACACGAAGAUAUCCGAUGAUCUUAGCAAUGAGUACUUUCACAUGAAAUGGAGUGAGUCGUUUGUGGUUGAGAGACUUGAAUCUUAAAACAAAACGUCUAACCUUAGGAAGACGAAGAUGCGGUAUACCAAAG